rnacentral:rRNA from 1 species
AACGAACGUUGGCGGCGUGGAUGAGGCAUGCAAGUCGAACGCGAAAGCCGCAAGGCGAGUAAAGUGGCGGACGGGCGAGUAACACGUAAUCAAGCUACCUGUGAGACGGGGAUAACUUCGGGAAACCGAAGCUAAGACCCGAUGGCCUUAGGAGACCGCAUGGUUUCCUAAGUAAAUGGGCGGGACCUUUCGGGGUCGCCUGCUCGCAGAGGUGAUUGCGGCCCAUCAGCUAGUUGGUAGGGUAAUGGCCUACCAAGGCAACGACGGGUAGCCGGCCUUAGAGGGUGGUCGGCCGCACUGGGACUGAGACACUGCCCA